rnacentral:lncRNA from 1 species
CAUGCCCCUUAGCUCUGCUUCUGAUCUACGCAGAGCAGUGUUGGUUUCCAAGAUAGCCUUUGGCCCCUGAAGCACCUCUCUUGGGCUGAAUGAGGGAGGUGGCCAGUGUCACAGAUGGGACACCAUGCAGAUGAUCGUGGACCUGUCUGCUGAGACCACUGGCUUUCUAUGAGUGGUGCCAGGAUGGAAGCCGGCAAACAGGCUUAUUUCACGGGCAGCUUGACGGGUGAAGGAGGUGGAAUGUAGAGCAUGGGAUCUGGCACUGUUGGCUCUCGG